rnacentral:misc_RNA from 1 species
AAGGAUCAUUAGCGAAGCUCGGAAUGCGUGUUCGGUCUGAUGCUGCCCAGCGAUGGGAUGUGCUCGGCCGGAUGCGUGUCCCUUCUCUAUUCCACCCCUUUGUGAACCAAGUGUGCGAGCCGAAGAGAGAUCGGAGGCUCGCAUGCAACCCUUAACAUACCCCAAUGAAGUAUCAGAAUGUACCUUGCGUUAACUCGCACAAAUACAACUUUCAACAACGGAUCUCUUGGCUCUC